rnacentral:rRNA from 2 species
GCAGUCGAGCGAAUCGAUGGGAGCUUGCUCCCUGAGAUUAGCGGCGGACGGGUGAGUAACACGUGGGCAACCUGCCUAUAAGACUGGGAUAACUUCGGGAAACCGGAGCUAAUACCGGAUACGUUCUUUUCUCGCAUGAGAGAAGAUGGAAAGACGGUUUACGCUGUCACUUAUAGAUGGGCCCGCGGCGCAUUAGCUAGUUGGUGAGGUAAUGGCUCACCAAGGCGACGAUGCGUAGCCGACCUGAGAGGGUGAUCGGCCACACUGGGACUGAGACACGGCCCAGACUCCUACGGGAGGCAGCAGUAGGGAAUCUUCCGCAAUGGACGAAAGUCUGACGGAGCAACGCCGCGUGAACGAAGAAGGCCUUCGGGUCGUAAAGUUCUGUUGUUAGGGAAGAACAAGUACCAGAGUAACUGCUGGUACCUUGACGGUACCUAACCAGAAAGCCACGGCUAACUACGUGCCAGCAGCCGCGGUAAUACGUAGGUGGCAAGCGUUGUCCGGAAUUAUUGGGCGUAAAGCGCGCGCAGGUGGUUCCUUAAGUCUGAUGUGAAAGCCCACGGCUCAACCGUGGAGGGUCAUUGGAAACUGGGGAACUUGAGUGCAGAAGAGGAAAGUGGAAUUCCAAGUGUAGCGGUGA